rnacentral:rRNA from 1 species
UACGGGAGGCAGCAGUGGGGAAUAUUGCACAAUGGGCGCAAGCCUGAUGCAGCCAUGCCGCGUGUAUGAAGAAGGGCCUUCGGGUUGUAAAGUACUUUCAGUCGUGAGGAAGGUGUUAAGGUUAAUAACCUUAGCAAUUGACGUUAGCGACAGAAGAAGCACCGGCUAACUCCGUGCCAGCAGCCGCGGUAAUACGGAGGGUGCGAGCGUUAAUCGGAAUUACUGGGCGUAAAGGGCACGCAGGCGGUUAAUUAAGUUGGAUGUGAAUCCCCGGGCUUAACCUGGGAAUGGCAUUCAAGACUGGUUAGCUAGAGUCUUGUAGAGGGGGUAGAAUUCCAUGUGUAGCGGUGAAAUGCGUAGAGAUGUGGAGGAAUACCGGUGGCGAAGGCGGCCCCUGGGACAAAGACUGACGCUCAUGUGCGAAAGCGUGGGGAGCAAACAGGAUUAGAUACC